UUUCCAAUGUUUUGGGAUUAGGGAUUUGGCUACUUGAAUAAGAUAAAAGGUAAGUGUAUCAUCUAGUAUCUUGUGGUUCUCCAAAUUUACAUUUAGUAGCAUUGUUACUUGGUCUUCCAUCUGUACCUUGACUGAUGUGAUUAUUUUUACGCUUUCUAAUAUUUGUUCCCAGUAAUCCUUCAGUUUAGGGCAGGUUAACCACAUAUGUAAAUGAUUUCCAACUUUAUCGUUGCAUCUCCAGCACCCGUGAUGCUUUUGUGGGUAUAUUUUAUUUAGCCUUGCUGGGGUUAGAUGCCACCUUGUGAUUAUUUUAUAGAUUGCUUCUUUCAUUUUUGACGCCCUGGCUUUUUUGUUUCCUUUCUUAAUAAUAUUCACCCACAUUUGUUCUGGUAUAUUGACUCCCAGUUGUUUCUCCCAGGAGCGACAAAACGAUGGUAAUUUAUAUUCACCUGAAUUUAGAAGAAUAUCGUAUACCUUUGAGAGAGGUUUCAUCAGGUCUGGGUACAAACCCUGCUUGAUCCUGAUGAAUAAUUGAAGCUUGGAGCCCAAGGCUAUCAGAUAGCCUCUUAAGACGCAUUUUACAGUUUCCCAUAGAGUUGACGAUGAUAUUUCUGGUGUUAAAUUGUUUGUUACUAUUUGUUUAAUCCAUUUUUGUAUCAUAUCCUUAUUGUCUGCGUUAUGUAGUAGAAAUUAAUUUAAUCGCCAAUUAAAUUCUGGUUUAAUUACUCCUGGUAUCAUAUAUUUCGUGAUUACCGGUGCAUGAUCUGAUGUUAAUGAUGUGGCUAUAUCGGCUUUUUGGAAUAAAUGUGCCCAUUGUUGUGAUACCAUUAUAUAAUCUAUUCGUGAAUAAACCUGAUAUUGCUUUGAAUAAUGUGAAUAGUCUUUUUUUUGUGGGUUCAUUGUACGCCAUACAUCCACUAAGUGGAGAUCAGUUAAUGAUUUUUUUACUCGCUUAAGGUUUUUAUAAGAUAUACUAGUUUUGCCAGAAGAGGAGUCUAUAAGCGGAUUCAGCGUAAUAUUGAA